GAAAAGGCUUUACUUCACGUCUGUGUUUUUGGGGAAAUUGAGGCACGGAGCUGAGAAGGAAUUUACUCGGGAUCAGAGGACGUCUCUUAAGACAAAACAGGAACGAAAGUUUAAGACACACAAAAAUGAGAUGAUGUUCGCUUCUGGAGAAGGGAUCAGAAGUGAGAAAAUGAAUAAUGAUUUUUACCCUUUGGAAUUGUCUUUGUGAAUUUACAAAGAAAAAAAAAAAAGAUCAUCGUUUACAGACUGCUCAGUUCAGGCUAAGAAUGCCGAGAGGUAAAAGCCUGGAACACCGUGGCCACUGGGUGUUCACCAGCAGAUGUGCUCGGACAUCAGCAACAAGUUACCCCAGAUUUGUUUACUGCCUUUAGAGAUGUUGCGUUCCUUAUGCACUAUCUCUCAGAACAUAUGUGGGUCAUUAGUCAAGUCACUGGAACAGUACAAAGGUUUUUUGGGUUUGGUUUUGUAUUUUGGC